AGUUGAGAGGAAUAUAAGCAGCUAUUGAUAUUGAUGCGUUCAGGGGUCAUGGGACAAAAUAGAAUUUAUUGCUUUAACGCAAAGUAUUAUAUUUUACAGUGCUUUAAUCGUAUAUAAGCAGAGCUAUUACUAUCACGCGAUUACUAGACACAUUUCCAUGAUCAUUAAACUCUUUAAUCUAUCACCACUAAUGUUUCAUUUCCGGUUUCGUCUCAGGUUUAAAAUAAUAUAAUAUGCAUUAGUUUCAUGGAGUGGCCAGCGUAUAACCAACCUAAAGCUUCAAAAGGGACUCUCUUUGUGCACUCAUGUGCGAUCUUCUGAUAUUAUGUUUCUUUUGGCUGUGGUUUUGCCAGCUUUAAAGAGCUUUGUAUUUGAAACGUCAUGUGAGUCACAUGUGGACCUCAGCACCCGCUUCGAAACACACCACAACAGUGCUCGCAAAGACCAGACAACAAAGCAAUCAAUAAAUUACAAAUAUAUACUCCACGGUAAAGUACCCCCUUUGCUCCCUUAGGCCAAUUUUUCCCAACGUUUAGAAUUUGGAUUAGAUAACCUUAAUUUGUCCCAUAAUGGCGAAUUGUGCAAUUAUUAUGUAUGUGUCUGUCUAUCUGUCUGUCUGUGUCUCUUAUCUCAUGCAGCCAUUUUACAUAAAAUUGUCACAGCAUACCACUAAAUAAAAUGAUGAUGUUGUCUCAAUUUACUCACAGAUUCACUUACCGGUACUCACUGUGAAAUCUGGGUCUUUUAAAUGCAUUCACCGACAGCAAAAGCUGUAGAUGUCAAAGAUCCAUUUUUACUCGGUUGGCUGUGAAUAAAUUCACUCAUUCACUGCCACUGACAGCUAUACUGUAUGUCAAAAAUCCAUUUUUACUAGGCUGCUGCCAGUGAAUGACUACACUGAACUCAAAGCUGAUGUAAUCACAAAGCCAUUACUUUUUCUGUUGUACGAAUGUCAACUUGUGGAUACAUAGUUCUUGUCCCCUCUGCAUGGUCUGCCAUGGUGUAGAAUAUUUUAUUCUUCUGCCUUUCAUGAAACAUGCUGGUGUAGAUGACCAACAAAUAAUCUAUCGUAAUCUUUGAACAAGAACUGAUGAAGCCUGCAAGGAUGAGAGGCAAAGUGGCUUCUAAAAAAACAUUAACAGGCAAGUUGCAAUGGAUUCAACGACCAGAGAAUUCAAUGACAUGGACAAAUGAGUAUAUUCACAACCAACAGGGGAACUAUUUUCAUUUUUUAUUGUAUUAGCCAGAAUACAGGUGAGCAUCCUGGAUGAAAAAAGAUAAAUUGUGGUGACAGACAGAACUAAAACAUUGCAUCUUGAUUUGAAUAUGAAAUGUAAUUUCCAUAGCAGUUGUAGUUUAAUGAAUGCUGCCAACUAAUAUCAGGGUGAUCCAUGUCCAAACAUGCCAUUAUAUAACUGAGAGCAUUGCAAUCACGUGGGAAAAGAUAAGCGUGAUCUUUGUUUUGGACAAUGAUCUUAAAAAA